ACGCUGGCGGCAUGCCUAACACAUGCAAGUCGAACGAGACCUUCGGGUCUAGUGGCGCACGGGUNCGUAACGCGUGGGAAUCUGCCCUUAGGUUCGGAAUAACUUCGGGGAAACUGAAGCUAAUACCGGAUGAUGACGUAAGUCCAAAGAUUUAUCGCCUAAGGAUGAGCCCGCGUUGGAUUAGCUAGUUGGUGAGGUAAAGGCUCACCAAGGCGACGAUCCAUAGCUGGUCUGAGAGGAUGAUCAGCCACACUGGGACUGAGACACGGCCCAGACUCCUACGGGAGGCAGCAGUGGGGAAUAUUGGACAAUGGGCGAAAGCCUGAUCCAGCAAUGCCGCGUGAGUGAUGAAGGCCUUAGGGUUGUAAAGCUCUUUUACCCGGGAUGAUAAUGACAGUACCGGGAGAAUAAGCUCCGGCUAACUCCGUG
rnacentral:rRNA from 1 species